CUACAACCAACAAAAAUGACUUUCAUCACCAUAUUGAUCUGGACGCUGGCAGUAUUAUGUCGAGGUUUGUGUCAAGGACAGAUCACCGUCACUCAGAGUCCCUCAAUGACAGCAGCUCAACCAGGACAAACUGUGAACAUCAACUGUAAAACCAGCAGAGAUGUGAACAAUGGUGAUUUUUUAGCCUGGUACUUACAGAAACCUGGAGAAGCUCCUAAACUCCUGAUUUAUAGAGCAAGCAGCCGUCAGUCAGGAACUCCAUCUAGAUUCAGUGGCAGUGGAUCUAACAGUGAUUUCACUCUGACCAUCAGUGGAGUCCAGACUGAAGAUGCUGGACAUUAUUACUGUCAGAGUGCACAUGUCAUCAACAGUAACUGGGUGUUCACACAGUGAUAAAGAGUCGUACAAAAACCUCCGUCAGUCAGAGUCACAGUGACUGAACUGAUACUGCAGCUGCUCAAAGGAGGAUCUGAAACAACAUCGUCACACAAACAUCUGAAAUAAAAUCAUCUAAAUUAAUCUGCCACUCUUAAUAAUUAUAGAGGUCAGAAAGAGAUUUUGUGCUCUUAUAGAUCAGUCACACGUUUGAGAUCUGAGUGAUUUCAGUUGCCGCCUUUUAUUAAUAAUAGAUGUUAAUUUUCAUAAUUCUCCAUGGUUAUUUGAUUUGAGUAUCUCAUCCUAACAUGUCAUUUGUACACUAUACACUGUAUUCAUACUAUAUACUGCAGACAGUAAGAGUUUUAUAUUAGCUGCUGUUUUAAUUGUAGUCCUGAUCAACAGUUCAGUUCAGACACGCCUCUCCCUCCUCUGCACCAAUCACAGCCUCUGAUAAGAAAGAGCAAGAUAAGAAUAUUAAUUUGUGCUUUUAACUGAAUUUUUAUUGAAAACUCGUUCACCAAACUAUGAGAAGGUACAAACUGGUAUCUGAUGAUAACAUGAGCUGAUAAACCUCAGUGUAAACUGAUGAAUAUGAACAAACCUCUGUUCCAAUGGAGAGAAACUGGAACAGGAGAAACUUCUUCAGCUGGUACUUACAGAAACCUGGAGAAGCUCCUGAACUCCUGAUUUAUUACACAAACUGCCUCAACAGUGUCAUUUACUGAAGUCAAACAGUGAAUCUGAGCGAGUUAAACUCAUAUUUCAUCAUCAGGUGGAGAGAUUGUGUUUCUCUCAGAAUAGAGCAGAUGUUCAUCGUCCUCAGAGGAGUUUGAUGAUCCUGUGACACCAGAAAUACUGAAAAUAUCUAUUAAGAAUAAAAACAUGUAGAAAAGUGUUUUUUGGAUUUUGAAAUGUAGAAUCUAUAAAAACUCAAUAAUAGAUUCUUGUUCAUUAAACCGUUGUAUAAAAGCAAUAUCACACUUGUAAUUGUGAUGUCGGUCUGAUAUUCGGAUUAAACAGCGCUCCUGUUCAUCUGAUGUUGCUUUAUCAAUAAAGGAUUAUAUUAACAUGUCAAA